rnacentral:rRNA from 1 species
GACGUAGGUGGCGAACGUUAUCCGGAAUUAUUGGGCGUAAAGGGUGCGUAGGUGGCCUGACAAGUUAUCAGUGGCAAAUCGAGGCUCAACUUCGUGGAAACUGGUAAUACUGUUCGGCUUGAGUACAGGAGAGGUUAACGGAACUCCAUGUGUAGCGGUAAAAUGCGACGAUAUAUGGAUGAACACCAAUAAAGGCGAAGGCAGUUAACUAUUCUGUUGCUGACACUGAGGCACGAAAGCGUGGGGAGCAAAACGG